rnacentral:rRNA from 1 species
UACGGGGGGGAGCAAGCGUUGUUCGGAUUUACUGGGCGUAAAGGGCGCGUAGGCGGUCAGCACAAGUCAGUUGUGAAAUCUCCGGGCUUAACUCGGAAAGGUCAACUGAUACUGUGCGACUAGAGUGCGGAAGGGGGCAACUGGAAUUCUCGGUGUAGCGGUGAAAUGCGUAGAUAUCGAGAGGAACACCUGCGGCGAAGGCGGGUUGCUGGGCCGACACUGACGCUGAUGCGCGAAAGCGUGGGGAGCAAACAGG